rnacentral:rRNA from 1 species
GCUGCUUCGCUGACGAGUGGCGGACGGGUGAGUAAUGUCUGGGAAACUGCCUGAUGGAGGGGGAUAACUACUGGAAACGGUAGCUAAUACCGCAUAACGUCGCAAGACCAAAGAGGGGGACCUUCGGGCCUCUUGCCAUCGGAUGUGCCCAGAUGGGAUUAGCUAGUAGGUGGGGUAACGGCUCACCUAGGCGACGAUCCCUAGCUGGUCUGAGAGGAUGACCAGCCACACUGGAACUGAGACACGGUCCAGACUCCUACGGGAGGCAGCAGUGGGGAAUAUUGCACAAUGGGCGCAAGCCUGAUGCAGCCAUGCCGCGUGUAUGAAGAAGGCCUUCGGGUUGUAAAGUACUUUCAGCGGGGAGGAAGGCGAUAAGGUUAAUAACCUUGUCGAUUGACGUUACCCGCAGAAGAAGCACCGGCUAACUCCGUGCCAGCAGCCGCGGUAAUACGGAGGGUGCAAGCGUUAAUCGGAAUUACUGGGCGUAAAGCGCACGCAGGCGGUCUGUCAAGUCGGAUGUGAAAUCCCCGGGCUCAACCUGGGAACUGCAUUCGAAACUGGCAGGCUAGAGUCUUGUAGAGGGGGGUAGAAUUCC